CCUACGGGAGGCAGCAGUGAGGAAUAUUGGUCAAUGGACGCAAGUCUGAACCAGCCAAGCCGCGUGCAGGAUGACGGUUCUAUGAGUUGUAAACUGCUUUUGUACGAGGAUAAACCCCGAUACGAGUACCGGGUUGAGAGUAUCUGACGAAAAAGCAUCGGCUAACUCCGUGCCAGCAGCCGCGGUAAUACGGAGGAUACGAGCGUUAUCCGGAUUUAUUGGGUUUAAAGGGUGCGUAGGCGGGUUGAUAAGUUAGCGGUGAAAUGUCGGGGCUCAACCCCGAAACUGCCUCUAAUACUGUUGGACUAGAGAAUAGUUGCGGUAGGCGGAAUGUAUGGUGUAGCGGUGAAAUGCUUAGAG
rnacentral:rRNA from 1 species